UCUCAGAGGCGGGAAGUGUUGUGAUGACAGGAUUGCCAGAAUAGCAAUAUGUCAAUAUGCUUUUCAACAGCUAAUGGGGACCGAUGACCUGCCAAAUGGACCAGGCAAGCGUGACGCUAAGGAGACCACUGUGACGCAACGAGUUCCAUCAAGCAUUCUCCAAAGCCCUUGUCCUGGACCAAAGCAGCAUUUUUGUUCUGGCUGAUGCCUUCGUUCAAAGGUUCAGAGACCAGCUUGAGCUUUGCCAUGUGGGAUGUCAUUUUCUCUUGGCCAAGUUACUGCCAGUCGCAGCUUGCCCAUUGGGAGGAAGGUCAGCUGAGGGUCCUGCCGCGCUUCGGUGGGCGCCGGGGACCAGAGUUGUUUCCUCACAUAUGGGGCCCAGUGACCUUCUUGGCCCGGUGGGUGUCAGUACUAUUAUUAGACUGAAUUAAAGCCAUGAAGGUGAAGACCCAACCCUCCAGGGACUCAAGCUCACACUGUCCCUCUCCCGCUCAUCUGACACAUCACUAAGGGUCUUGGGAAAACGGGUCUGCUGGCAGCAUGUAUUUUUGUCCUAGACUUUUGUGUGUAUUGGAGGGAGAGAUCUUCAGGUUCGAGAUAAGAGGUCCACUGUCCACUGGUUAGGGCCUUUAGACAUUGUUUGGAAUAGGAGAGAACCAUGAAGGUGCUACAGAAGCUUCAUUUCGUUCCUGAGACAUACAACAUGGAACAUCCUCCGGCAGUCAGAGAGAAAGUGCUGCUACUGCUAACAGUGAAGGUAUCACAAAGGAUGCUGUGGAAGACUGCAUGCACACUGAUACCCCAGCGCUUCACUCAACCCCUGUUUAUAAUUACAGCUCCAGGAGCAGUGGGUGAGCGUCACAGAGACAGUGGACUGCGUGUCUUUAGGGUCCUUGUAGAACUGCAACAGAGAGUCCCCCAGACCCCAGCAAAGAGCAAGAUGAGGAGAUGAAAGUCUGCAGUAGCCACAGGGGUGACAGCCAGUGCUGGAUACUCGCAGGUAUAACUGAAGACCUAAGAUCCUGGCUGGGAAAAGACGUGGGAGAUCAACAAGCACCCCUCUUUUUCAUCCACUGGUGCAUGUAUACACAGUUUCCAUUUACAAAAUCUCUUAUGAAAUCAGUGAGUGUUUUGACGCAGUGUGCACUGAUGUCUGAACAAGUACACACAGAAAAGGCCAGCAGUGUUAUCCAGUUUGUCAUGCUGGACUGCUCACCACUCAUUUCAUCCUUGGUGCAGCACUGCAAUGACUGGCAGCACAAGUUCACUCAGCUGCCAACACCUGCCUCAAAGAACUUAGAAGACAUUGCCAACAGGAGCAGGACAUAUGAAGUGCUGAAUCAGGAGUAAGCCUGGCUCUCCGUCAGAUCUUGAUUGACAGCUGCCUCAUACACAUAGGAAAGUUCAAACAGAGUGUCAUCCUCUCCUCUUCAAAAAGAAGAUCCAGACCACAGGACCUGGAUGCAGAUCUGCUGCGAGCUGCGUCCCUGCUCUUUUGACCAAACCAGUGCUGAAUUACAUCAUCUCAUCUGGGACAAGCUUGCUGACAGGAUCUGUGACAUCUCUGGAGUGCUUCAUAGAACAGCAACUCCAGCUGCUGGUACAAGUGAGGAGGAAGGAAGGAUGAUGAGAAAUAAGAAAGAGGGGCAAUGGAAGUAUCCUCUGAACUCCAUGACAAUGAGUCUGGGAAAGCUGUAUGAAGAAAACGACCUCUCCACCAGCGAGUGAACUGAGUGUUUUCUUCCCUCGUGAGACUAGUGUGCACAGGUACCGAAAUACACAGGCACAAUUCACACCACAGUACAUGUAUUCAGACUGAAACACACUAGUCACUUGCUGGUGACAAGACCCAACGUGCAUUUAUAAAACCGACCCAAGCUUCUAUUUCGUACUUUGUUUUCCUAAAGCAGUGAGUAAUAGUAGUAGUAGUAGUAGAAGAGAGUGAAAGCAGGCAGGCACCUUAUGCUCACACACAUCUACAUGUGGUUAUUACUGCACACA